AGUAUCCUGUGCAGUAAGGAACAACUGUAUAAGCUUUCCAAAAGAUUCUGCAAUGAUUAAGCAUUACAGAGAUCUGCUUUCCAUGACUUCAUCUACAAAUGAGAUCUGAAUUUGAUUACCCACCACAACAUAAUAUAUAGAGCAACAAUUGAAGUGGGUCUUUGAAUAAUUUAGCAGGGGCUGACCAAUAAGAUAUAGUGCCUGAUGCAAGAUAUACCACUGCAUUACCAUUUGUGCCAUUCCCAGAAGA
rnacentral:lncRNA from 1 species